GUUGUUACAUACCGUGAAACAACAUUGCUAUUUGAUGAGAUGCACUCUGCAGCUGCCAAUAAGCAACGGGUUGCAGUUGUUGUAGCUCAUGAAUUAGCUCAUCAAUGGUUUGGAAAUUUUGUCACAAUGGAAUGGUGGACACAUAUGUGGCUUAAUGAGGGCUUUGCGACUUGGGUGUCUUACUUAGCUGCAGAUCAGUUCUUUCCUGAAUGGAAUGUUUGGACUCAGUUUCUAGAGGAAUCUACAAUAGGUUUCAAGUUGGAUGCUCUUGCAGGUUCACAUCCAAUUGAGACAGCAAGCUUGCCAAACAUUCAGGAGGAGAGUUCUAGCUCUGGUCAAAAGCAUGGAUUCAGUUGUCAAAAGAGUCCCUUGGCAGUACUUAUAACUAAAACUGUGUAUAAAAGGAAUUAGAGGAAAAUGUGAAGGAGAAACUCUCCCAUUUUUGCCAUGUUCCGGCAGCAAAUAUUAUCACUUUGUAUGAUGUUUCCAAUAUCUGGCGCAUUCCUUUGUUGCUACAUGAACAAAAGGCUCAUGAGGCUAUUCUUAAAGUUCUGAAUCUGGAAAGGACGGACAAAAGGCUCAUGAGGCUUU